rnacentral:rRNA from 1 species
AGAGUUUGAUCUGGCUCAGACGAACGUGGCGGCGUGGAUUAGGCAUGCAAGUCGAACGAAUCCCAUCUGGGUAACUGGGUGGGGGAAGUGGCGAAAGGGGCAGUAAUGCAUGGGUAACCUACCCCGGGGACGGGGAUAGCCAUCCUAACGGAUGGGUAAUACCUGGCGAUCUGGCGAGGAGACAUCUCUUUGCCAGGAAAUGAAUUUCGCCUCGGGAGGGGCCCAUGUGGUAUUAGCUUGUUGGUAGGGUAACGGCCUACCAAGGCCAAGAUGCCUAGCAGGUGUGAGAGCACGACCUGCGCCACUGGCACUGAGACACUGGCCAGACUCCUACGGGAGGCUGCAGUCGAGGAUCUUCGGCAAUGGGCGCAAGCCUGACCGAGCGACGCCGCGUGUGCGAUGAAGGCCUUCGGGUUGUAAAGCACUGUCGAGGGGGAGGAAGGCCCGCAAGGGUUUGACCUAUCCCUGGAGGAAGCACGGGCUAAGUUCGUGCCAGCAGCCGCGGUAAGACGAACCGUGCAAACGUUGUUCGGAAUCACUGGGCUUA